rnacentral:lncRNA from 1 species
UGUUCAUGGAGGUCAGACUAGCUACAGACUGACCUGUGUUGUUCAUGGGGAAGUCAGACUAGCUACAGACUGACCUGUGUUGUUCAUGGUGAGGUCAGACUGCAUGGUAGAGGGCAGAUCGUUCAUCCUGAGGGACAGCUGCCGUUUUGAAGGGAGAUGAGUUU